UUACCUGGUUUGAUCCUGCCAGUAGUCAUAUGCUUGUCUCAAAGAUUAAGCCAUGCAUGUCUAAGUACAGGCCGAAACAAGGCGAAACCGCGAAUGGCUCAUUAAAUCAGUUAUGGUUCAUUGGAUCUUACCUUGUUUUACUUGGAUAACUGUGGUAAUUCUAGAGCUAAUACGUGAUACCCCAGCUCCGACCGCAAGGAAAGAGCGCUUUUAUUAGAUCAAAACCAAUCGGGCUUCGGUCCGUUCUCACUGUGGUGACUCUGAAUAACUUUGAGCUGAGCGCAUGGUCUUCGAACCGGCGCCAUAUCCUUCAAGUGUCUGCCUUAUCAGCUUUCGAUUGUAGGUUAUGCGCCUACAAUGGCUAUAACGGGUAACGGGGAAUCAGGGUUCGAUUCCGGAGAGGGAGCCUGAGAAACGGCUACCACAUCUAAGGAAGGCAGCAGGCACGCAAAUUACCCACUCCCGGCCCGGGGAGGUAGUGACGAAAAAUAACGAUGCGGGACUCUUCCGAGGCCUCGCAAUCGGAAUGAGCACACUUUAAAUCCUUUAACGAGGAUCUAUUGGAGGGCAAGUCUGGUGCCAGCAGCCGCGGUAAUUCCAGCUCCAAUAGCGUAUAUUAAAGUUGCUGCGGUUAAAAAGCUCGUAGUUGGAUCUCAGUUCCGGACCGACGGUUCACCGCCCGGUGCUUACUGUCGGCUUCCGAACAGCCGCACGCCGGCUCGGCCAGGGUGCUCUUCAUCGAGUGUCCUGGUUUCGGCCGGCACGUUUACUUUGAAAAAAUUAGAGUGCUCAGCGCAGGCUGCAACGCCUGAAUAAUCUGUGCAUGGAAUAAUGGAAUAGGACCUCGGUUCUAUUUUGUUGGUUUUCGGAACCCGAGGUAAUGAUUAAUAGGAACUGUCGGGGGCAUUCGUAUUGCGACGUUAGAGGUGAAAUUCUUGGAUCGUCGCAAGACGGACUACUGCGAAAGCAUUUGCCAAGAAUGUUUUCAUUAAUCAAGAACGAAAGUUAGAGGUUCGAAGGCGAUCAGAUACCGCCCUAGUUCUAACCAUAAACGAUGCCAACCAGCGAUCCGCCGGCGUUAUUCCCAUGACUCGGCGGGCAGCUUCCGGGAAACCAAAGUCUCUGGGUUCCGGGGGAAGUAUGGUUGCAAAGCUGAAACUUAAAGGAAUUGACGGAAGGGCACCACCAGGAGUGGAGCCUGCGGCUUAAUUUGACUCAACACGGGGAACCUCACCAGGCCCGGACACCGGAAGGAUUGACAGAUUGAGAGCUCUUUCUCGAUUCGGUGGGUGGGGGUGCAUGGCCGUUCUUAGUUGG
rnacentral:rRNA from 1 species